GGCCUCGUAGCUCAGCUGGGCUGGGCGUGCGCGUGCAAAGGGUAGGCGGUGUCCAUGCGUGGGUUCGAAUCCCACCGAGGCUA
rnacentral:tRNA from 1 species